rnacentral:rRNA from 1 species
GAUGAACGCUGGCGGCGUGCCUAAUACAUGCAAGUCGAGCGAACAGAUAAGGAGCUUGCUCCUUUGACGUUAGCGGCGGACGGGUGAGUAACACGUGGGUAACCUACCUAUAAGACUGGGAUAACUUCGGGAAACCGGAGCUAAUACCGGAUAACAUUUGGAACCGCAUGGUUCUAAAGUGAAAGAUGGUUUUGCUAUCACUUAUAGAUGGACCCGCGCCGUAUUAGCUAGUUGGUAAGGUCACGGCUUACCAAGGCGACGAUACGUAGCCGACCUGAGAGGGAGAACGGGCACACUGGAACUGAGACCCGGUCCAGACUCCUACGGGAGGCAGCAGUAGGGAAUCUUACGCAAUGGGCGAGAGCCUGACGGAGCAACGCCGCGUGAGUGAUGAAGGGGUGCGGCUCGUAAAACUCUGUUAUUAGGGAAGAACAAAUGUGUAAGUAACUGUGCACGUCUUGACGGUACCUAAUCAGAAAGCCACGGCUAACUACGUG